AUAGAUAUGUCACAGAACACCGAUUGCGAAGGCAGCUUACUAAAGUAUGAUUGACGCUGAGGCACGAAAGCGUGGGAGUCAACAAGGAGUUAGUAUACCCUCGGUAGUCCACGCCUAAACCGAUGAAUACUCGAUGUUGGUCGAUAUACAGUCAGCGUCCCACGCGAAAGCGUUAAAUAUUCCACC
rnacentral:rRNA from 1 species